GGCAGGAGCACGCGCAGGUCCCAAUGCGAUAGCCGCGCAGCGCGACUUAAGUCCCCGCGGGCACUGCCGCCUCCUGCUCCCAGGCUCUUCACCGGUUGCAUUGUGGAAGUUUGACCUUAGCCAUUUCAGCUUGUGCCCUGGCUGAGGACGAAGUAAUACCGAAGUGUCUCCUCCUCAAUGGAAUAAUGUUGGCUUUCACAGUGUUGGCACAGGGUUCCCCCUCCCGCCGCCCCUGUGUUUUAUGCUGCUUAAGGACAGUUUUCUCCCAAAGGAACUAUUAGGGGAAAUGGUGUGGGGUGUGUGUGUGUGUGUGUGUGUGUGUGUGUGUGGUGCGCGCGCGCGUGUUUUCUUUUUGGCGCAUGCACACCCUCGGUAGCCUCAAGGUCGGCAAUACCCUGAGCCUUCGCGGGCCCCCCAGCCGACCCUGUACCUUCCAGCCAGCCAAGGACUCCGGAAGGAGGGAGUCCCCGGUCCCGGCGGGGCGUCCUGAGACUAGGUUCAGUUUUUAGCAAGGUCGGUACUGAAGCAAGGCAAGUGGGAGCUGGGUUCCCCGAAGAUUUACUUGUAUCACCGCGAGUGGGAAGCGGGGGCCUGGCUGGUUCCAGCCGCGCCCCCCGUCCGGUGCCCGCACCCAGGGGCACCCCCGCCAGCUUUCCGCGCCCCGGACCCGGGAGGAGGGGGUGUGCGGUGCUCCCUGGCAGCGAGCUGUCACGGAAUUUGAUUGACACCCGAGUGGCAGCUGGUCCCGGCCAGGACUCCUGUCCUUCUCAAAUGGAAACACUUUCUCCCAGUGAACCUACCGGAAUUCUCCGAGGAAUCGCACUUGGGCUUUGCCCCCUGGCGCAUUUAACCAAGGCCGCAUUUACCACUUUGAGGCGAGGAAUUCUUCAAAUGGAGCGGGGUUCCUGGUUGCAGAACAAGGUAAGCUCGCGACGAAGGUGACAUUGUUUGGGGGCUACAGAUUUAGUGGGAACAAGUCUCCCCCAGGCAAGAUGGUGAAGUUUGCCCUGGGGCUUCCCUCCCCCCACGCCAGGCCUCAGGUCCGCUGCAAAGUCUCUUCCUGCUCUGCCUUUCCCCCCACCCCCGCCGGGGCUCCUACCUUAAAAAGAGAGAUUCGGGAGUGGGUGGGAUUCCCUGAAGCUCUUACUUUUAUCAUGGUAAUGUUCUACACUGAAGGUCAAGGCUGUAGCAUGACCUGAAGUUUCCCAGUCUCCCCAUCGUCCCUUGCCU
rnacentral:lncRNA from 1 species